rnacentral:rRNA from 1 species
UUGUUCCUUGAGGAGUGGCUUCCGGAGCUAACGCGUUAAGUCGACCGCCUGGGGAGUACGGCCGCAAGGUUAAAACUCAAAUGAAUUGACGGGGGCCCGCACAAGCGGUGGAGCAUGUGGUUUAAUUCGAUGCAACGCGAAGAACCUUACCUACUCUUGACAUCCACGGAAUUCGGCAGAGAUGCCUUAGUGCCUUCGGGAACCGUGAGACAGGUGCUGCAUGGCUGUCGUCAGCUCGUGUUGUGAAAUGUUGGGUUAAGUCCCGCAACGAGCGCAACCCUUAUCCUUUGUUGCCAGCGAUUCGGUCGGGAACUCAAAGGAGACUGCCGGUGAUAAACCGGAGGAAGGUGGGGAUGACGUCAAGUCAUCAUGGCCCUUACGAGUAGGGCUACACACGUGCUACAAUGGCGCAUACAAAGAGAAGCGACCUCGCGAGAGCAAGCGGACCUCACAAAGUGCGUCGUAGUCCGGAUCGGAGUCUGCAACUCGACUCCGUGAAGUCGGAAUCGCUAGUAAUCGUGGAUCAGAAUGCCACGGUGAAUACGUUCCCGGGCCUUGCACUCACCCGCCCGUCAAAA